GGAGAGAGGUGGGAGAGGAGGACACAGCGAGGAAUCUAGGAACAAAGAAUUAUGCUUGCAUUUGGCAGGGAUUGGCAUAUUCGUGUGUGUGCAAGAUUCCUGGUGGACUGCUGGACAAUGUGAACCCCAGGCUUUGGGAACAUUUAGCUCCACAGCAGGGAAAAAGCACGUGCCCAGGGAGUGCCAAAUGCGGCUAUGAUCGGAACAUGCUUCUGCCGUGGCUUCUGCCACCAUCAUGCUCUGCCUUCUCGCGGACCCACAGCAGUGGAGCCCACCAAUCAUGGGCUGAAAACUACAGACCAAAUAAACCUUUCCACUUCACUUCAGGUGCUUUGUCACAGCGACAGGAGGCUGACCAACAUGUGAGCAUUCCCAGAGGAUGAAAGAAAUAUCUUCAGCUCCCAUCACACUGGGAUGCUUUCAUCAAGGCUAUUAACAUAUUUGUCUCAAAU
rnacentral:lncRNA from 1 species